UACAGAGGUCUCAAGCGUUGUUCGGAUUCAUUGGGCGUAAAGAGCUCGUAGGCGGCUUGUCACGUCGGAUGUGAAAGCCCGGGGCUUAACCCCGGGUCUGCAUUCGAUACGGGCAGGCUAGAGUUCGGUAGGGGAGAUCGGAAUUCCUGGUGUAGCGGUGAAAUGCGCAGAUAUCAGGAGGAACACCGGUGGCGAAGGCGGAUCUCUGGGCCGAUACUGACGCUGAGGAGCGAAAGCGUGGGGAGCGAACAGG
rnacentral:rRNA from 1 species